CGCGAAGCGCGUGAGUGGCGUCGCCGCUGGGGUUGCCUUGCUGUCUUUCCUCCACUUCGGAGAUGACCGGCCAGCCAUCAUUUCUUCCUACCUUUGGUCCAUCAGAUACAGCCACUCUUUUAUCUGAGCUUCUCUGACCUGCUCCCGGGAAUUUGGUGGCCCACUGAGACAUUUCUCUGUGGAACUUCAGCAGCUAAUAGGGACAUCAUCUGCUAUAACCUACAAACAAUUGGAAAGUACAUACCUCCGGAAUUUGAGAGAUUCUGAGAACAUCCCAUGCGUAAACAUACUUCUCACUCUCAAAGUACCAAUUGGAAAAUUCAGUGAACAAGGAAGCAUAUAUACUCCCUGUUGCAUAGAAAACAACCACUUGAUGGUCUGGUUGAGACGGACUCCUCUACAGGCUCUACCUCACUUUCCAUGAGUAUCCCCAAGGAUAGCUGAUCCGUCCUCUGGAAAAGUUGAGAAAGGUAUGAUGAAGCAGUUUCCAGAG